rnacentral:rRNA from 1 species
UAAUACAGAGGUCUCAAGCGUUGUUCGGAUUCAUUGGGCGUAAAGGGCGCGUAGGCGGCGGGGUAAGUCGGGUGUGAAAUCUCAGGGCUCAACCCUGAAACUGCACUCGAUACUGCUCUGCUUGAGGACUGGAGAGGAGACUGGAAUUCACGGUGUAGCAGUGAAAUGCGUAGAGAUCGUGAGGAAGACCAGUGGCGAAGGCGGGUCUCUGGACAGUUCCUGACGCUGAGGCGCGAAGGCCAGGGGAGCAAACGGGAUUAGAUACCCCGGUAGUCCUGGCAGUAAACGGUGCACGUUUGGUGUGCGCGGAUUCGACCCCGUGCGUGCCGGAGCUAACGCGUUAAACGUGCCGCCUGAGGAGUACGGUCGCAAGAUUA